CACUAAUUGUGUAAAGAACAUGAAACACAUUUAUCAGAGGAGCUUCCUCUUGUUCCCGUGGUAACACCGUCUGUCUGAUCUCAGGCUUUUCAAAAAUACACACCUUUACACAUUCAAUGUUACACCUUGAACUAACUCAAGCAGCAACAUUGUUUUCUAAAGUUACAUCAUGUUUUCUUUAUUCAGAUUGAGGGGCUGCAGUCUGUCAGAGAUCAGCUGGGCUCCUCUGUUCUCAGCUCUGAAGUCCAACCCCCCCCUCCUGAGAGAGCUGGACCUGAGGUACAACAAGCUGCAGGCUUCAUCAGUGAAGCUGCUGUGUGACCUUCUGGAGAGUCCAGACUGCAGACUGGAGGCUCUCAGAUAAUAAAGUAGAAGCUGAUGUUAUGAUGAGCACAAUAACAGAAUGACAGCGUCACUCCAAUUCAUGGAUUAGGACGUAGUAAUGUUGAGCCACACAUUUAAACCUGAACACAUCUGAUUGGAUUAUAAAUGGAUUUGUAUCCACAUCAUGUUUUCUUUAUUCAGAUUGAUGGACUGCAGUCUGUCAGAGAUCAGCUGUGCUUCUCUGGUCUCAGCUCUGAAGUCCAACCCCCCCCUCCUGAGAGAGCUGGACCUGAGGAACAACAAGCUGCAGGAUUCAACAGUGAAGCUGCUGCGUGACCUUCUGGAGAGUCCAGACUGCAGACUGGAGACUCUCGGGUCAGUCAGGGUCCGACUCAGUCUCUGCUGGUUCAGCAGUAUUGUACUAACAGGGGGGUUAAUGUGUUACUCACGUUGGGGAAUCCCCCAGUUCUACCUUCCACUUGUAGCCUAGCUUAGCAGAACUAAUCAGUGAUUUCACUCAUUGCCUGCAGGUUCUCCUGUUCUUUCAUCUCGUGUUUCUUUUCUUUCAUUCUUCCACUAACAAUAAAACACAAGCUGACAAUGCAAAGCCAAGCAACAUGUUACAAGUUGUAACUUUGGAACUUGUGAUUUCACAGAAGAGUGAGACAGGUAGUGUGUUUGGUUCUUGGAUCCAGACUAAAGACGAGUUACUUCCUGUAAUGCAGGCUCAGAGCUGUCUGCAGUCAGUUGUAGUGUUUGCACAGAAGAUAUGAUGCCAUGUAAAGCGUUCCAUCAGUCGGCUCGUGUCAGGACUCUGAAGCGGGCUGACUCUAACAACAAACUGUUAUUUAAACCUGAGACAUAACUUUUGGGAUUGUGUUCCUACAGGAUCAAUGACGAGUUGAUCACAGCUGAGGAACACACAACAUAGGACUCCAUCAAACUGGAUGUGUGAACAAACCUGCCCGAGGAAGACAGCAAGGUGAAAGAGGAGCAGCUGCACAGUGUGAAGUAUAUUUAUGGAGCUUCACCACAGAAUCAAAUGUAGUUAUUGGUAAUUGUUUGCCUGGGACCGACCUGCAGGCUCAGCUUGUAUUAGCUCAGAUCAACUGGUCCUCCUGCUGGAGAGACGAGUGGAAGAUGGAGCAGUUCAUAUCUAAAGAUAUAUAUAUAUAUAUAAUUAACUUGGGUUACUUAAAUAUAUUUCUUAAAGCUUAAAGUGCAUCAACCUGUUCACCUUUCAUAAGUUCUCUUGCUGGAGUUCUGAUAUACACUUGUACUUGUUUAAACUUCAUCAGACUUCUUGUUUCUGAUACUCAUCGUCGCAUCUUAAACAUUAUUCUUAUUAUGGCCACACAGUAAAUACAUCACCUUCAUCAAUACAAGCAUCUUCUGGCACAUGUACAAUAAGUGCGUUCACUCUUCAGUAAGUUAGUGAGAUGACUGCACUGCAUGGACUCCACCACAGAGGUGUAUGCUGGAGUGUGCACACUUAGGUUCCCUCUAACAGACUCAUUUAAAUGUUCAUCACUCUUGUUAUAACUUUCUAACUUCAUGGUGAACUCUGUAAAGAAGAAGAACCUAAGUGUUUCUCAUUAUAAUGACAUAUUAC